rnacentral:lncRNA from 1 species
AGGUUAGUGAAGCUCACAUCUCUGUUUUUUAUCCUCUGUUUUUGUUCUCUGUUUUUUAUGCUCUGUUUUGUUCUCUGUUUUCUUGCUCUAUUUUGUAGGUUUGGCUAUUUUGUUUAACAAUUUUAGUGUAAAAGUCUUGGAUUUGGAAGUAUUUGAAACUUUUGUUACUAAAUUAACUACUAUUUUUUAUAUAAACGGAUUUGACCGUGAGUUGAAAGAACUAAUUGACCUAACUUACGUAUGUCAUUGUUAUAAAACAAUACUUCUAACUUUUUAGCCCAAUGAAAAUGCAGUUUCCGGAAUUUCCAAUUAGACCACUUUUUGCUUUAUAGUUGUACUGGAAAUCCAUCUAUUUUCCAUCACUGCCACUAACUUUUGCACUCCCAAUAUUGGUAGUGUGAGUGUUUCUUUUUCAUUUAUUUUUUUAAUUUACUAUUAUUAAAAGGAAGAAGAAAAAGUUCAAUUUCUUUACAAUAAUUUAGAAAAUAAGAGUUUCAAAUCCGAGAGACAUGAUAUAAAUCUAACACUCUAUCCAAUAAGAUAUCAAAUUUCUAAUAUAAUUUCUUUUCAUAUGAAACAAAGUAGACUACUUUACCUUUUCUCCUUUAAAGCUUUUUCUAACCUUUCCCAGUCCUGUGGGUCACACUUAUGGUACAAGUGAGUUGGAUCCUGGUCUGAUUUUUAAUUGCUUUUGUAGAAUGUCUAUGGUAUGCUGAGUAAUAUUCUGGACUUUUUAAUCGUUUUUAUUUAUAUCUUUGAACAAAUAUCAAAUGGUUAAAAAACUCGAACUAUCUGAUACUCGAAACACUAUAGAAAAUUCAAUCAGUCUAUUUAAUGACCAUGUGGAAAGAGCUCACUAGAAAUUGACUUGUUGCCCCAAAUUCUUGAUAUUUUUAGUUGAUUCUUUCUUAUGGUAGUUAAUGGGUUAGUUAAUUUUUGGUUCUUUGGUCCUUUUUUGGUCACUUUCAAAAGUUUGAAUUUUUCCCAAUUGGUCCCAAAUGCUGAAAGCAAAUUAAUGGGCAUGGCAUGAGGAAUAUUUAACUCCCCAAAAAACCCUAGUUUUUAACAUAUGCUACUAGAUUUCAAGAAAGUGUCUCAGUUGCUAUUAUGUCAUCCUUUGGCCUAACUCUAGGCCUUUUCUUGUCCACUAGAUCCGCAUGCGCGUUCUAGUCGUGCAUUGUCUGACAUGUUGUAUUGCAAAACAAUGUUUACAUCGCUUGUGUAAACUGUGAGCUUAUGAGGUUUAAGAAAGCUGUGAUGCAAAUGUCGGUUAAGUCUGGUAGUCAUUGUUGUGUGUCUGCCCUGUUAUCCAAGUUUAAGUCAAGUUCAAUGUCUUAAAAAAUAGAGUUGUUAUUAACAUUUCAAAUUAUAAAUAAACUUUUGACUUAUGGUUCCACUAAACUUGCAUUAGCUACCAAACCUACCUCUUUAUCUUGGAUUAUGGUCCUUUUGGUCUACGACAAGAUCUGCACCGUACGUACAUUUUUGACCAGUAAAUCAUACGAUUACAAAUAGAAGCUGUGAUGCAAAUGUCGGUUAAGUCUGUUAGUCAGUGUUGUGCGUCUGCCCUGUUAUCCAAGUUUAAGUCGAGUUCAACGUCUUAAAAAAUAGAGUUGUUAUUAACAUUUUAAAUUAUAAAUAAACUUUUGACUUAUGGUUCCACUAAACUUGCAUUAGCUACCAAACCUACCUCUUUAUCUUGGAUUAUGGUCCUUUUGGUCUACGACAAGAUCUGCACCGUACGUACAUUUUUGAUCAGUAAAUCAUACGACUACAAAUAGUUCACAGUUUCCUACGUAGAAAAACCAGAGACCAUACCAAAGCACAGUCCCCAAGAGUCCGAGACUCGUCGAUCAACGUGAAAAGACCAAUUUAGUGUUCAAUUUUCAUUGGCUCAUUUAUUCGCGCCCACCAUAAAACGCGGUCCGCGAUCCACGUUAACAUUGCCAAGUCCGAAUUUACCCUCACGUUUUUUGAUUUUUUUCCGCAGGGUG